rnacentral:rRNA from 1 species
GACGAACGCUGGCGGCGUGCUUAACACAUGCAAGUCGAACGGAAAGGCCCUGCUUUUGUGGGGUGCUCGAGUGGCGAACGGGUGAGUAACACGUGAGUAACCUGCCCUUGACUUUGGGAUAACUUCAGGAAACUGGGGCUAAUACCGGAUAGGAGCUCCUGCUGCAUGGUGGGGGUUGGAAAGUUUCGGCGGUUGGGGAUGGACUCGCGGCUUAUCAGCUUGUUGGUGGGGUAGUGGCUUACCAAGGCUUUGACGGGUAGCCGGCCUGUGAAGGUGACCGGCGACCUUGGGACUUAGGUAAGGCCCAGACAACUACGGGAGGCAGAAGGGGGGAAUCUUGCAGAAGGGGCGGAAGGCUGAUGCAGCAACGCCGCGUGCGGGAUGACGGCCUUCGGGUUGUAAACCGCUUGCGCCUGUGACGAAGCGUGAGUGACGGUAAUGUGUAAAGAAGCACCGGCUAACUACGUG